GGGGAAUAUUGCACAAUGGGGGAAACCCUGAUGCAGCGACGCCGCGUGAGUGAAGAAGUAUUUCGGUAUGUAAAGCUCUAUCAGCAGGGAAGAAAAUGACGGUACCUGACUAAGAAGCCCCGGCUAACUACGUGCCAGCAGCCGCGGUAAUACGUAGGGGGCAAGCGUUAUCCGGAAUUACUGGGUGUAAAGGGUGCGUAGGUGGUAUGGCAAGUCAGAAGUGAAAACCCAGGGCUUAACUCUGGGACUGCUUUUGAAACUGUCAGACUGGAGUGCAGGAGAGGUAAGCGGAAUUCCUAGUGUAGCGGUGAAAUGCGUAGAUAUUAGGAGGAACAUCAGUGGCGAAGGCGGCUUACUGGACUGAAACUGACACUGAGGCACGAAAGCGUGGGGAGCAAACAGGAUUAGAUACCCUGGUAGUCCACGCCGUAAACGAUGAUUACUAGGUGUUGGAGGAUUGACCCCUUCAGUGCCGCAGUUAACACAAUAAGUAAUCCACCUGGGGAGUACGACCGCAAGGUUGAAACUCAAAGGAAUUGACGGGGGCCCGCACAAGCAGUGGAGUAUGUGGUUUAAUUCGAAGCAACGCGAAGAACCUUACCAAAUCUUGACAUCCCGAUGACCGUUCCGUAAUGGGAACUUCUCUUCGGAGCAUCGGUGACAGGUGGUGCAUGGUUGUCGUCAGCUCGUGUCGUGAGAUGUUGGGUUAAGUCCCGCAACGAGCGCAACCCUUACCUUCAGUAGCCAGCAGUUCGGCUGGGCACUCUGGAGGGACUGCCAGGGAUAACCUGGAGGAAGGUGGGGAUGACGUCAAAUCAUCAUGCCCCUUAUGAUUUGGGCUACACACGUGCUACAAUGGCGUAAACAAAGGGAAGCAAGCCUGCGAGGGUAAGCAAAUCUCAAAAAUAACGUCUCAGUUCGGAUUGUAGUCUGCAACUCGACUACAUGAAGCUGGAAUCGCUAGUAAUCGCGAAUCAGAAUGUCGCGGUGAAUACGUUCCCG
rnacentral:rRNA from 1 species